rnacentral:misc_RNA from 1 species
AAGAGAAUCGCGGAAACCGCUUCAGACAAGCCUCCGCAAGGAAAAUUAGUCACGACUGAAAGCAUUGGCUGGGCGACAAAAAAAGUUCCAGGAUUAAUCCUAAAUUUACUUAAUGAUACAAAUUAGAGUGAAUUUUUAGCCCGGAAAGUUGUCUCGUGGCGUGAGAGGAUGCGCUUACCGGACGCAUAAUAAACCCCAUAGCGUUACCUUCAUUUGCCGCAUCAACAAGUUCAGCAUGCUCUUCUUCAGUCAAAUCAUCUGCCAACCAACCGAUCACCACACUGUAAUUGCCCGUGCGUAAAGCGCGAACCAUUGACUCCACAGUGUGGCAAGGGGAGAGCUGGCUAAUCUGCAUUACUUUCGUUAA